CACCCCUUGAAAGGACCAAGACAUGAAGGUGCAGAGGCUGUUGUUCCUGGUGCUCUUGCUGUGGUGUCCCGGUUCCCCAAACCCAAAUCUUGUCCAUGUUGUGCCUGACCGUUUCCUUCUUGGCCCUGAUGGGGUUGGAGUUCUAUGGAAACUUCCCAUUAUCACUGCCCCCUUGGGAGUUUGUGUCUUUCUCAUUUAUAUCUGGAGAACCAUCCUCGCUAUAAAGCCUCGGCGAUAUGAAGGUAAGUUUUUUGGCUUUAGUUUUCAUUGUCGUAAAUUCUCAGUACCGGUGUUUGAUGUGGGUAUAAUUCGACUAGGGGUAAAUAUGGUGACUUCUGAUGUCUAAGUGACUUGUUA